CCUGCGCGGCCGUCGCCCCCCAGCUGUGCCGGCCCGCUCCAUCCCACACACCCUCCAGCGGGGCCGCUUCCCGCCCAAACGGCCGCCAGCAGCGGGCUGUCCCCGCGGGUUCCGCUGGCUCGGAGCGCAGUGCUUUCUAGAACGCCGGUGGGGGGAGGCAGUGAGGAGCCUUCGAGGGGAGAUGGCCCGUCCUGUCAGCCAGCGUGUCCCCAUAGAACCUGUCUCGGUGAGAGAAAUUCCCUGGCUCGAUUCCCUUGCUGUCUGUAUAUUCAUCUAGCAGCCAGAGAAGAGGUUUGCUUUGAUUUGGGAGUCCGUUACACCGUGAUAACAAGAUUGCUUCAAGGAACAUGUUCUGAACAAGGAAUUCAAAAAUGAAGAUAGAGAGUACCCACAGAAUCAUGGAGGUUCAUGUAGAAAACAAACACAGGAAGGGGAUGAGACAAAAAGCAAAGAUGUGGAUAAUGGUAAGGCAAUACAUAUGGAAAUUCUGCUUGAGAAGAACAAACGCAAAUGCCAAAAACAAUUCACUUGCUACAUUAAGUUAGAAGAUCUGGAUAGCAAACAUAAGCAUCCAAAACAAAUGAAGCAGGUUAGCCAGAGUGUCUACCGGCCCCAAGGUCACACAGUCCUGCUCCAGCUGCCAGCAGUGUCCGUGUGGAACAGGGAGCUUUCCAAAUUCUGGCCAGUGCUGGCUGCAUAGAGAAGACUAUCAGCUUUUUUUCCCUUUUCUGUGAAGCGUACAUUGCAGUGCAAAGCCACAACAGGAACACCUGAAUCAGCACUGCAAGUGCUAUGAUGUGCAGAACUGCUUAUGGUCUAGAAGCAAAAUCCUAACAUUAGUCUGCUCCUCCCAUACCUGUACAUGAACACAUUUUCCUAAUUCCUUUUUGUUAUUUUGUUUUAAAGAUUUCUUUUUCAUCUAAGUAUGUAUUACUUCAUUUAAUUGUCAAUACUCUGCAGGAGGGUCAGUUCAGUUCAAGAUUAUCUUCUUUCUAUAGCCGUGGAACCAAAUGAAGUUCUCACAUGUUUAGAAUAGGACACAAUCUUAUACUCAAGCCAAAUUAAUUUUCAAAGCUUUCUGUAAGUCCCCUCUUGCAGAGUUUUUUUCUUUCAAGUAUCAAAUUCUACUUGGUCCAUUGCCUUUAAGUGUUUCAUACAAAAGAUUGUAUAUCGUCUCUGUCAUGCCCAAGUUCAGGGAGCAAUAGUGUUCACUGUACACUCCCCUUCCUUUUCCUUCAUGGGAACACUAGCUUGGUGCUACUUUGCUUGGUGCUGAUUCCAAGAGAUGCCAUGUUUACCAUCUGUGUUCUUCCUUCUUAUCAGAUGCUAGGUAGGUUGGAAGGAGGAGUCAACAAAUAAUUUUGGUACUGUAAUGGACUUACCAAAAUAGUUUGGCUCAAAAAAUUUCCCUAUGUGUUCUACUGGAUCUUAUAACUUGGUGAAAAAUGCAUUGAAUAAAACCCCAGAUACUGUCACAGCCCAUCAGUUGGGUACACUUCAGAUGUACCAUUCCAUGAAAAUCAGACUUGCCCAACCAUGCCAGUGAGCUCCACUAAUGUCAUACCUGCUACUUAGACUUGGGAUAAUCCAUCUGUGCAAUACAAACUGUUUUUCAGAAAUAUAUAUAUAUUUAUUUUGCUCUCCUUCUCCAAUGCCAUAUUUUGAAGUUAAAGAAUGGGAAAUUAGACUUCUUCAACAUGUAGAUAUUUCUCUCAAUGACCCUGCUUUUGGUAAGCAGUGACAUGGUUACUCAGUAGGCUGUUUUCCCCUGGAGCUAUUCUUGUCCUGUAUCAGAUGAACACAUCCAAAGUCUCCUUCCAAUGCCACCCGUAAAAACUAUUGCCAGGUAAGUGAAUGCACAGCACCUUGUUUUGAAUAUUUAAGUUGUACGGAAUAAGCGUUUUACUUAUAGUCAGCAUGGCCUGGAAUCAAGUGCCAUAGAACUUCAUCACAAACUUAUCUUUCUCCCCUUUUUGAUGUUUUCUUUGGUGGCAGUAAAUACUGAAGACCCAGAUCAAAUCUGACUAUCAGAUUUCUCAUAUUUUUUAAGAGACGUUCAAGUAAACAUGGAUAUGAUUGGCUUCAGUUUGCAAGAAAUAUCAACUGCCAAGCUGUCUCUAGAUCUUUUUUUAUAAAUAUUACCAGUUCUUAUUUUACUCAAAACCCAAUACUUCACAUGGCUACUAUUGCAAUUUCAACUCUUAAAACUUCUUCAUUGGAAACCAAAUGCCUGUGAGGUUGUUUGCUUUUAUCGGAAUCAUUUUCAGAAGGAAUUCCUGCAGGCUGGUUUUUUACAAAGCAGUAGCCACACUGAAAUCCAAGCGAAUUACAAAUGCACCCACUCAUCCAGAUACCUAUGUUGCUAGAAUUUCACAGGACCGAUUUCCAAGCCCAAUUCUACCACAUAAGCAGCCAGCACAUAUUUUCCAGUCACCACUGUGAUUCGAAUCCAGUUAGGAGUUCUCGGUUUGUACCAAGUUCACCAUCCUUUUUAAAACAAUAAUAUGUUGGAGCACCAUCUGUAGAUCUCAAGUACUUUGAAAUUUCUGGAGUGGUGGAAUUGCAGUUGUUUAAAUACCUACAUAUCUAGAACUCUUUUCCCAAAGGCCCCCUGUUUCCCAGGCUCUGCAAAGUAUUCUUUCACCAUGCCGGCAUAGUACUAUAUUCUGGCCUGCCUUUGGUUUGUAACAGUUCUUUUUAACAGAAGUUCCUUUUCUACCAUGUCAUCACUGAGCUGUACCACUUCCUGGAGUUUUUAUUCUGUUUAUGAUUUCCCUCAUUUUACAGAUUGGAUUAGCAACAUUUCUGAAAACAUCAAGAAUGUUACCCAGCAAAUCAAAGUCCCUUUUUCCAUCAUGUAUAGCCAUCUGUGGUUAUAAAGCCCUUAGAUAUUGCUUACCCAGCCUGACUGACUACAAGCUGUAACUUUAGCUUAUAUCUGAACAGAACACCAGCCUUUUUCAGAGUGUCUCUACCAAAUCAUUAACACCUGGGCCACUCAAGUUGGAUCUUAAUUAAUUUUUCACCUUGUCUGUACCAUCAUGCAAUUAGCCUAUGAACGUGGAUUUCCACAGGGCAUUUCCCACUUGCAGAUUAUUGUAUCACUACAGCAGAAACAACACACCUCCUACCCUUAGGGUAACACUGGAUGAAAAGAUGGAGCUGUGGACAUAUUACCUUACUCAAGUUUUUAUCUAAUCGAAUUUCACAGCUAGCAGCUGCAGUGACUAUAAUCCAUCGGUUCUCCUGCACGGUCACUUGUUUUAAGUUCCUUUCUUCCUUCUGGUUCCCCCUUUCUUCCAGCCAAAGAUUAGCCAGAGCUUUCUCCUCAUUCCAUGGUACGCUCAGAGUUUGCUUUAAUACAAUGUACAAAACUCCAAUUUCUCAGUUCAGGCCUUGUUUUCUCUCUUCUCAGCACCUCCGGCUCUCUCAAAACAGCUCAUUUCAUUUCUGCCAGCUGUGACCUCUCCAAAUGCCUCACUAAUUCACGCCGUACCAGACCUGGCCUGGGCAGUGAGCACCGUGCUGCGUUUUGAUUAGGAAGAACACUUGGUGCUGAAAUCAGGUGCCUGUGGUGUAAUCAUGUUACCGUGUAAUGAGGCUGAAAGCUCCUUCCCUCCCCACUAAGUGCCAUCAGGCAGCACGAUGACUGCAGAUUUCUUUCAAGUAUUACUCAGUCCAAAAACCUGAGAGGACUUUUCCUUACAAUUUGUCUUCUGUAGGGGGUUAACUGGUUAUCCUCAUCGCUUUCUCUUUUGUUGCUUUUGCCUCUGCAGUACAAAGCGCCUUUUGUAAAAUAGUAGCCAGCAGGAGUUCCUUAACUCACGGACAAGUCUGUCUUGAUACUUGUAUCAGGGGUGUGCAAUUGUGGCAGGUGGGACAGAGGUUCCUUUCUCCUAAUUUAUAGUAGAACAAUUACCCUAAUUCUUUUUUCUUUUUUACUUUUUAAAAAUUAUUAUUAUUAUUAUUGUUUCCUUGGCCUCACUGCUGUUAUAAAGAGGUCCCUGGAGGUUUUCAAGAAGAGAGUAGAUGUGGCACUGAGACAUGGGUUAGUGGGCAGUGUGAUGGGCUGAUG